rnacentral:rRNA from 1 species
UGCCAGCCGCCGCGGUAAUACGUAGGGAGCGAGCGUUAUCCGGAAUUAUUGGGCGUAAAGCGUGCGUAGGCGGUUUAUUAAGUCAAAUCUGAAAGUCCACAGCUUAACUGUGGAAGGUGAUUUGAAACUGGUAAACUUGAGUACGGCAGAGGUUAGUGGAAUUCAAUGUGUAGCGGUGGAAUGCGUAGAUAUAUUGAGGAACACCAGUGGCGAAGGCGGCUAACUGGACCGGAACUGACGCUGAGGCACGAAAGCGUGGGGAGCAAACAGGAUUAGAUA